UAUAAAAGACCUUAUUUCCAGAAACAGUUUGUAAUUUAUCUGUUUUUUUCUUGGAGAAUAUGGCAGAAUGAAAGGAGAUUUUAAGGGAGUGUCUGUGGGACACAGGGACACUAUAUUGAAGGUACAGCCUGGAAUACUCUCACAGGCCUUGUUUUGUCUCCAGUAGAAAUGGGUCAUUGUUUGUGCUUUCCAAAGUGAAGACAAACACAUGCUUUGUGCUUAGGGUUUGGUAUGGUGUUUAGAAGAUGGUUGGGUCUCACUUAAUCAACUCUACUUUUAAACCCACUCUGGGUAUGAGUCAUCUUGGGUCUGGCUCCUAUAUACAGAUUUACAUGUGAACAUUUGACAUUUUCUGGUCCCCUGCUGUACAGCUAAGGCCCUUCCAAGUUAAGCUCUGGUGGCAGCUGCCCUAUGUUAAGAAUAGGAAACAUGGGCUGGAGUUAUAGAACCAUCUAGGCCAGCUUCCCAUCUUUGGCACAGGCAGGAGGAAAAGUUUGGUUCGUAUCUAGUCUAUGACCUAGUGUUUCCCUGGGAAGCCUUGUUGUAAUUCCAUAAUGGAAAUCCCAUUGUUCUUAAAAUUCUCUCUCAUGAUUGGCAAGGACAAUGCCUGAGUCAAAAGCAGGCAUGAUUCCUGUUUGUCCCCCAGCUUUUGAGAAAGGCUGGCCUCUGCCAGAGGGCGCUUCCACAUUUUCCCAGCAGCCUGUGGCUUGGCUAUCCUCCGUCUCGUCCUCAGACACUGGGCCAAGUGGCCUGGCAUGUGCAGAGGGAAAUGUCCAGUCCCAGCUUCCUUGCCAAGUUCAAGAGGCAGCAACUGUAUCCACUGGGCCUGAGGUGGUGCCACCAGAGCCUGUCACCAUCACCGCACUGUCACUCAGUGGGCCUGGUGAUGGCAGCUGGGGGUCAGGAGGGGCCAGUGGCUGGUGUGGGAAUAGCAGCUGUGGGAAGUGGCUGCAUCUCUCAGUGGCAAGGCUAAGGCAGCCCCCAGAGCACUGAUGUACUCUGAUCAAAGUGAGGUUGAGGGACUUCGUGCACCACUUUGGAACCCGUGGGCCUAAGUUUAAAUCCCAGGUCAACCACUUCCUAGCUUUUUGACCUUG
rnacentral:lncRNA from 12 species